rnacentral:rRNA from 1 species
GCGCACGCUGGCGGCAGGCCUAACACAUGCAAGUCGAACGAACCUUUCGGGGUUAGUGGCGGACGGGUGAGUCACACGUGGGAACGUGCCUUUAGGUUCGGAAUAACUCAGGGAAACUUGUGCUAAUACCGAAUGUGCCCUUCGGGGGAAAGAUUAAUCGCCUUUAGAGCGGCCCGCGUCUGAUUAGCUAGUUGGUUGAGGUAAUGGCUCACCAAGGCGACGAUCAGUAGCUGGUCUGAGAGGAUGAUCAGCCACAUUGGGACUGAGACACGGCCCAAACUCCUACGGGAGGCAGCAGUGGGGAAUCUUGCGCAAUGGGCGAAAGCCUGACGCAGCCAUGCCGCGUGAAUGAUGAAGGUCUUAGGAUUGUAAAAUUCUUUCACCGGGGACGAUAAUGACGGUACCCGGAGAAGAAGCCCCGGCUAACUUCGUG